AAGGAAUUGCCCUGUAGAUUCCGGAGAGGGGCGGGGAGAGGGAAGGGGUGUUGCCCUUGACUCCCUUGAAGUUCAAAGUUCUUUUUUGCUCUGGUGAGGAAAAACCCCCUCUGCCUUCAACCCACUCGAGAAAUCAGCCUCAGGCAGCGCCGCGGCUGGAGGGGAUUACCCGAAGAGGUUGAGCCCAGAGUGCCCCUGACCGGCAAGGGCGGGGUUGGACAUCCCAGGGGCCCGGAGAACAAUUCCAAAGAGAAGGGAAAGAUGAGAGAAUUGCUUCCAAAUCUCAGCCCCCAAAGAACGAAUUUGGAACAGAGACCACCAGAGUGCCCUCACUGAACGCGCUGAAAGGACUGUGGUUAUCUUUAUACAGAA
ensembl:lncRNA